rnacentral:ncRNA from 1 species
UUAAAGACAAUGAAUGAGAAAGUAGAUAUAAUGAAGUGUACAGGGAGAAAAGACCUUAGACUGUAAGUCUUUUUACAGGAAUUUAUAUUGAAGUUCCCUCAGGAGUCCUAGCUGUGAAAUAAUAGUAGUGGUUAGCGGGUAAAGCCGUUAUUUAAAUUAAGAUGGAUAUUAAAGUUAGUAUAAUUUUAUAUUAACUAAUAUCAAUUAGGGUGGUAACGCGGAUAUUCCGUCCCUUUG